rnacentral:rRNA from 1 species
UGGGGAAUUUUGGACAAUGGGCGCAAGCCUGAUCCAGCCAUGCCGCGUGUCUGAAGAAGGCCUUCGGGUUGUAAAGGACUUUUGUCAGGGAAGAAAAGGGCGGGGUUAAUACCCCUGUCUGAUGACGGUACCUGAAGAAUAAGCACCGGCUAACUACGUGCCAGCAGCCGCGGCAAUACGUAGGGUGCGAGCGUUAAUCGGAAUUACUGGGCGUAAAGCGGGCGCAGACGGUUACUUAAGCAGGAUGUGAAAUCCCCGGGCUCAACCUGGGAACUGCGUUCUGAACUGGGUGACUAGAGUGUGUCAGAGGGAGGUAGAAUUCCACGUGUAGCAGUGAAAUGCGUAGAGAUGUGGAGGAAUACCGAUGGCGAAGGCAGCCUCCUGGGAUAACACUGACGUUCAUGCCCGAAAGCGUGGGUAGCAAACA